UCCCUUUGUCAUUUACUUCUGCUUCAAGGAGCUGGGUCAGAGGGUGCCUGUCGGCCAGCCUGCAAGAAGUGUGGGAUCACAAGCAAGUGAGUGGGCCAUACUACAGGACUCAAGGCUCUCCUGGGCAGGGUGCCUGUGAGGCCACUGGCCUCCAGGGAAAGCCAGAUACUCUUUCCGGGUGGCUGGAGGGCGCCUUUCACUACUCUAGCAGCCACCACAUGCCCUCCAGCCCUCUCCACACAGCCUGCUGGGAAAGCAGCAGAAUGUGCCAAUCCCUGUUCAAGGUCCUUGGCCCUGCCAUGUGCAGUGAUCUCCUGGAGAAAUGUACAAAGUCUUCUCUCCAAGCUGUUCUUAAGCUCCCAUUCACCAAGCAGACCAGCCAUUCAUCAUGACACGGAGGAUUGUACGCAGAACAUCACACCCACUGUCUGCUACCCUAAACAUAGUUCCUUCGCUAGCUACCAGCGUCCCUGAGGACACAUAGGUACGGUCCAGCCUGGAUGCCUCGCGAGCUCAACAUGCUUGCUGAAGUCGCUGCAGCAGGUUGGGGCCUGAGAUGAAGGCAAAGAAGGAAGUAACCAGGAAAAAUGACCAGUCACUGGAUACACGAAAGUCAGCACUAUUUGUGACAUACUUCUUGGGGCAGGUGUU